rnacentral:rRNA from 1 species
CUUGGCGGUGUUUUAGACCUCUCAGGGGAACCUGUCUCAUAAUCGACAAUCCACGCUAUACCUUACUCUACUUUGCUUUUACAGUUUGUAUACCGUCGUCGCCAGGUAACUUUUAAAAACUUAGAAGUUAGCAAAAAAACUAAUUAAGUUUACACGUCAAAUCAAGGUGCAGCUAAUAUUAGAGUGAAGAUGGGUUACAAUUGUAAAAUUAUAAUCACAAAGUAAUUAUAAUAAUAUAUAAUUAAUUAU